rnacentral:rRNA from 1 species
UGGCUCAGGAUGAACGCUGGCGGCGUGCUUAACACAUGCAAGUCGAACGGAGCCAAGAGAUGCUUGCAUCUCGGAAGCUUAGUGGCGGACGGGUGAGUAACGCGUGAGUAACCUGCCCUUUACCGGGGGAUAACACUUAGAAAUAGGUGCUAAUACCGCAUAAGCGCACAGUGCCGCAUGGCAGAGUGUGAAAAACUCCGGUGGUAAAGGAUGGACUCGCGUCUGAUUAGCCAGUUGGCAGGGUAACGGCCUACCAAAGCGACGAUCAGUAGCCGGCCUGAGAGGGUGAACGGCCACAUUGGGACUGAGACACGGCCCAAACUCCUACGGGAGGCAGCAGUGGGGAAUA